rnacentral:antisense_RNA from 1 species
AGCGCCCGGCACAGCCCGGACCCAGGUGUAAAGUCGGGCAUCUGCGCAGUAAACAUCUGGCCUCAGAGCUGUCCUCCGCGCCUUGGCUGCCGCAGCCAGGGGAAGGAUAUGCGGAGGGCUCUAAGUCAAAGCGGGCGUUUUUGCGGGUGUAGCCACUGCCGCGCCUGGGCCUGCAGGAGGGGCAGAUUUUCAGGUGGCCGGGACAGGUGAAGGCAGAGAGGAGUGGCUGUCCACCUGGGGAAGCAUCCCGAAAACAUCACACACAGUGGACCACGCUUUGCCCUCAGAGUGACUGCUCUGACCCGGAAGGAGAGGUCAACGACCCCUCAGGACACAAAGGGUUUCUUAGGUUGUUCUGCACAGUCACAUGGCUUCCAGAACCAGAACGUUCAGCUCUUAAAGUCUGCACAGAAGAACUGAUAGAAUCUGCUCCUUUCAAUGGAAUCUGUGACUGUUUGGGAAGGAUGUGCAUGGAGAAGGGCCUGAUGAGGCUCCUGAUCCAGGCGGUCCAUGUGCGUUCAGUGUGUUCGGACCCUAGGCACCUCUGUCUAUUGCUUGGUCUUGCGUACAUAGUCCAUAGCUUGGCAUCAGCACAAAUCGAUGCUUAGUGAGCACAAUUAAGAAACCAAACUAUGGAAAAUUAAGGACAGUAACAAAAGUAUCAUCAACAAAAAUCAAGCAUUUUCCUCUUUUUGAAACAAGAAAAGCGCAUCGUAGAAACAAAGAUUCUGUACAAUAUUCUAACAUUAUAUGUACAUAAAAUUAUAUUACUCAUAAC